UACAGAGGUGGCAAGCGUUGUUCGGAAUUACUGGGCGUAAAGGGCUCGUAGGCGGUUCGUCACGUCGGGAGUGAAAACUCGGAGCUUAACUCCGAGCCUGCUUCCGAUACGGGCAGACUAGAGGUAGGCAGGGGAGAGCGGAACUCCUGGUGUAGCGGUGGAAUGCGCAGAUAUCAGGAAGAACACCGGUGGCGAAGGCGGCUCUCUGGGCCUUACCUGACGCUGAGGAGCGAAAGCGUGGGUAGCGAACAGG
rnacentral:rRNA from 1 species